rnacentral:rRNA from 1 species
CAACCUUCCUUUAACUGGAAGAUAGCCCUCCGAAAGGUGGAUUAAUACUCCAUAACAUAUUGAAGAGGCAUCUCUUUGAUAUUAAAGCUCCGGCGGUUAAAGAUGGGCGUGCGUCUGAUUAGGUAGUUGGCGGGGUAACGGCCCACCAAGCCUUCGAUCAGUAGCUGAUGUGAGAGCAUGAUCAGCCACACGGGCACUGAGACACGGGCCCGACUCCUACGGGAGGCAGCAGUAAGGAAUAUUGGUCAAUGGACGCAAGUCUGAACCAGCCAUGCCGCGUGGAGGAUGAAGGCCCUCUGGGUUGUAAACUUCUUUCUUUGGGACGAAACCCCUGUUUCUACGGGGACUGACGGUACCAGAGGAAUAAGCACCGGCUAACUCCGUG